AUUGAACGCUGGCGGCAUGCUUUACACAUGCAAGUCGAGCGGCAGCGCGGGGGCAACCCUGGCGGCGAGCGGCGAACGGGUGAGUAAUGCAUCGGAACGUACCCUGGAGUGGGGGGAUAACGCCGCGAAAGCGGCGCUAAUACCGCAUAUGCUCUGAGGAGGAAAGUGGGGGACCUGCAAGGGCCUCACGCUCUGGGAGCGGCCGAUGUCCGAUUAGCUAGUUGGUGGGGUAAAGGCUUACCAAGGCGACGAUCGGUAGCUGGUCUGAGAGGAUGAUCAGCCACACUGGGACUGAGACACGGCCCAGACUCCUACGGGAGGCAGCAGUGGGGGAAUUUUGGACAAUGGGGGCAACCCUGAUCCAGCCAUGCCGCGUGCGGGAAGAA
rnacentral:rRNA from 1 species